AUGCAUGUUGAUACUAUAAUGGAAUCUCGUGAUGCAACAUUUUUUGAGAACAUAUUUCCUAUGAAAGAUAUGCAUAGCAUUGCUAGAUUUUCUUCUGAGAUAAUUCCUGAAUCUAGUACAACUGAUGAAUAUUUCGAACAAUCACAUGAGGAAGUCCUUGAGAAGGAUAACAAUGAAGUUCCUAGAAGGAACAAGAGACAAAGGAUUGCAAAAUCCUUUGGUGAUGAUUUCAUUGUAUACCUUGUGGACGACACACCCAAGACGAUUGCGGAAGCAUAUGCAUCUCCGGAUGUAGAUGAUUGGAAAGAAGCUGUUCAUAAUGAGAUGGACUCAAUUCUUUCUAAUGGAACUUGGGAACUAACUGAUAGACCAUAUGGUUGUAAACCUGUGGGCUGUAAGUGGGUGUUCAAAAAGAAGCUAAAGCCUGAUGGUACUAUUGAUAAGUACAAGGCGCGGCUAGUGGCCAAGGGCUACACUCAGAAAGAAGGCGAAGAUUACUUUGACACCUAUUCACCCGUUGCUAGAAUGACCACCAUUCGAGUGUUACUUUCCUUGGCUGCCUCUUAUGGUCUUAUCAUUCAUCAAAUGGAUGUAAAGACAGCUUUUCUCAAUGGAGAGUUGGAAGAGGAGAUCUAUAUGGAUCAGCCUGACGGGUUUGUGGUAAAGGGUGAAGAGAGAAAGGUGUGCAAGUUGUUAAAAUCUUUGUAUGGUCUGAAACAGGCACCUAAGCAAUGGCAUGAGAAGUUUGAAAGAACUCUGACUUCUGCAGGAUUUGUCAUUAACGAGGCUGAUAGGUGUGUUUACUAUCGCCAUGGUGGGGGCAAUAGUGUCAUAUUAUGUUUGUAUGUGGACGACAUACUGAUCUUUGGUACGAACAUUAAUGCAAUUAAUGAGGUCAAGUCUUUUCUAUCAAAAAGUUUUGACAUGAAAGAUCUGGGAGAAGCCGAUGUAAUUCUAAACAUCAAACUUAUUAAGGAUGAGAGUGGGAUUACAUUAACGCAGUCUCACUAUGUUGAGAAGGUCUUGAACCGAUUCGGUUUUAUGGAUAGCAAGCCUUCUCCAACACCUUAUGAUCCCAGCGUGACACUCAGAAAGAACAAGAAAGAAACGGGAGAUCAAUUAAGAUACUCUCAAAUUGUCGGUUCACUCAUGUACUUAGCUAGCGCUACAAGACCAGAUAUCUCUUUUGCUGUGAGCAAACUGAGUAGGUUCAUGUCCAACCCGGGUGAUGAUCAUUGGCAUGCACUAGAAAGGGUCUUGCGCUAUCUGAGAGGUACUAUGAGUUACGAAAUUACUUAUUCAGGGCAUCCUGCUGUGCUAGAAGGAUAUAGUGAUUCAAAUUGGAUCUCCGAUGUUGAUGUACUUUACGCAACAAGUGGGUAUGUAUUUACUCAUGGUGGUGGCGCAGUGUCAUGGAGGUCUUGCAAGCAAACCAUAUUGACGAGGUCAACUAUGGAAGCAGAAUUAACUGCUUUGGACACAGCUACUGUUGAGGCAGAAUGGCUGCGUGAGCUCUUGAUGGACUUGCCGGUUGUUGAAAAACCUGUACCGGCUAUUCUUAUGAAUUGUGAUAACCAAAUGGUUAUCGCUAAAGUGAACAAUUCUAAAGAUAAUGCAAAGUCAUCAAGACACGUGAAAAGACGUUUGAAGUCUGUCAGGAAGUUGAGAAACUCCGGAGUAAUAACUGUUACGUAUAUACAAACAGACAAAAACCUGGCAGAUCCCUUUACAAAGGGACUGUCACGAAAUGUGAUAGAUAUUGCAUCGAGGGAGAUGGGUAUGAGACCCAUA
rnacentral:rRNA from 1 species